CCUACGGGAGGCAGCAGUGGGGAAUAUUGGACAAUGGGGGGAACCCUGAUCCAGCGACGCCGCGUGAGUGAAGAAGUAUUUCGGUAUGUAAAGCUCUAUCAGCAGGGAAGAAAGAAAUGACGGUACCUGACUAAGAAGCCCCGGGUAACUACGUGCCAGCAGCCGCGGUAAUACGUAGGGGGCAAGCGUUAUCCGGAUUUACUGGGUGUAAAGGGGGCGGAGACGGCGAUGCAAGUCUGAAGUGAAAGGCGGGGGCCCAACCCCCGGACUGCUUUGGAAACUGUAUGGCUGGAGUGCAGGAGAGGUAAGUGGAAUUCCUAGUGUAGCGGUGAAAUGCGUAGAUAUUAGGAGGAACACCAGUGGCGAAGGCGGCUUACUGGACUGUAACUGACGUUGAGGCUCGAAAGCGUGGGGAGCAAACAGGAUUAGAUACCCCAGUAGUC
rnacentral:rRNA from 1 species